GAUAACUAAAAUAACAAACCCACAACAAGGAUAGUUUUGUUAGGAGAGUAAAGCGAAUUGACGACAGGCUGGUUGGAGCGAGCUUGUUGGUUCAGCAACAGAAGCGAACACUCUGCCUCUGAAGAAAUUAGCAUGACAUGAAUGAAAAAUUGAGGAAGAAGAAAGAAUCUUUUGUAUCAUUUUGCAAAAACUGAUCCAACAUUUAUAGCCAAUAUUCUUGGGUUGGCCAAGUCAACCAAUCACAACUGCACUAACCACCUAUAUAUGGGGUGGAGUGGGCUAUUUUUUCACGCGCCUGAGCCGUGAGGAAAUAGGGCCCAAAUCAUGGCGAACAUGAUAGGCUAUAAUCUACUUAGAACCCUAAACUCAAAAGUCCAUUCCCAAAUUGAAGUUGCAACCAUGUCUGCUUUACUAAAAGCUGAGAAGGAACGGAGAAUUGGAAAAAGUGAAUACUACUCCAACAACCGACGGUUAGGUAGAAGUUAGAUUUGUUUGACAUCGAGGUCACAUUUGAAGACACCCAUAUUUGAAGGUCACAUUUGAGUUUGAGUAACAUAGCAAUCGACUAUGUAUGCCAUUAUUGAAAGAUUUCUAGAUGAAGAUUAAGAAGCAUGAAGUAAUUGUGUUUUCAACAUAGCUGCUUAUACCGAGAACUGUUUGAAGAAGAACAGCUUAUUUCCUUGUUGAGAGGUGCAUGAAAACUAAGUUACUCCGACUUAGGUGAGAGUAUCGAAUAUAGGUAUGUGUCUAACAUGUGUGUUCAAAUUAUUUUCUAAAAUUGUCAUGUAAUGAAGGGCCCUUAGAAGAUCCUUUGCCUAUACUUAUAUCCUGAUAUGUGUCAGACAGAAGUACCAAAUACAAGUUACUUUAAAAAACAAUGAAACGUUGGAGGAACACGGCCUUACUAGAAAGUGUCAAAUAUCCAGAAGACCUAGAUCUUUUGUGAGAGCCUAAAUUCACUGUUGACUAAUUGACAUGUCUAGCGAGUUGACUUCAGCUAGAGGCAACACUCUAAGCCGGUGCCUGAGCAAGAGAAAAGCUGUGUAUGUAAGUAGUUUUGUUAAAAUGUGAGCGACCUGCUCUGUUGAUCUCCAGGCGCAGCUAGCAUUCUAAGACCCAUUGGUACGGCAUGUUUGAGGGUAAGAGGGAAAGGUUAGGCCAAAGUAGAUUUUGUAUCGUUGGAACCUUGGGAGUACUUAUGCAAUUGAAUAGGACGUGUGCUUGUUUUGAGUCGGCAUCCUUGCUUGAGACUUGAGAGGUGGAUUGAGUGAGUUGCUAGAUAUGCAGAAGUUGUUGUGUAAAUGAUCAUUCAUGCACAAUCAUCUUUGGAUUUUAUUCAGCUCAUUUCUGUAAGUGUUGAGACUGAAGCAAUGGCCAUUUCCUUGUCAAAACAAAGCUUUUGAUCUCGGCCAACAAAUCGCUUAGUUGCAUGGGUUGAAAACUUUAUUUUUUAUUUUUUUAAUAUAGUAAAUCCCCAAAUGGACAUUAUAUAAUUAAA